rnacentral:lncRNA from 1 species
AUGGCAAAGAUUUCUGUGGCUGGAUCAUGGGAUUUAUUGAGUGGAGCGAUUUCUCCUCAGGAGACCAGACACAUAGUUUUCAGAGCCCGGAACAACCACCAAAUCAGGAAUUCAAACUGCACCCUGGGAAGACUGGACUUCCUUUUGUUAAAAAGAAAAACGAAAGAUCUCUGAGAAAGCUUCUUAUGUCUCUUCCCUGACAUUUCACAAAAUAGAGAAAAAGGAAAAGAAAAAAAAUAUCCCUGAGGAAAGGCCAAGUAUAAAGAAGAAUUUGAUUUUGGCAUUGCUUUGAAAGAUUCCACUUACUUCGUCAACCCAUGGAAUGCUUAUUGUUGAACCAACACCGUAAGAAGGACAUGGCUUCAGCUUCAAUAAGACUGCACUGUAUGCAAAAAUAUUGAAUAAAUGGAUAAAUAAUAAUUAUUGAACUCCUAUUGUGUGCCAGAAAUGGUAGUGAGAAUUCUACAUGUGACUCAAAGAUCCUGACAAAGAUUUCAGAAAGUAAAUAUUUUUAUUAUCCCCGUUUUAUAGAUGAGAAAGCUGAGGCAGAAAUAGAUUGUGUAUCUUUUCCAAGGUUGACAUGAUAAGAAAGUAGCCAAGUGAGGAUUCAGUCCGAGCACUCUGAUUCCGGGGUUCAUCUGCUCGUGUGCUAUGUUCACUGACUCCUAGAGAAGAAAUUAGAAAUAACACCACCCUUACAUUAAACUUUCCAAAGAAUAUAAAAAGAGAGAACACUUUCCAACUCAUUUUAUGAGACCAGAAUAUCCUUCACUAAAAGCUGACAUGGAUAUAAUAAAAAAGGAAAAUUACAGACCAAUCUGUCUUGGGAAGGUAGAAGCAAAAAAAAAUGGUAUACCAAAAUACCAACAAAUUGGUUUCAGAGAAUUCAUAUAAACAAAUAAGAAAACGAUAACCCAAAGAAAAAUGAGAUUUCACAAAAGAAGAUAUCCCAAUGGUUUAAAAAAAAAAAAAAAAAGGGAAAAAGCCACAUAUUUUUUUAAGUGCUCAAUGUCAUUAGUCAUCAGGGAAAUGCAAAUUAAUGACACGACGUGUCCACCCGAAUGAUUACAAGUAAAAAGACUGACAAGACAAGGAGCUGGCAAGUAUAUAAAACAAGACGAACUCUUGGUACAGUCACUUUGGAGAAAAGUCUAGAAGUAUCUACCAUAGGUGAACACAUAAAAUGCCCUAUGAACCAUACAUUCAACUCCUAGGUUUUUACUCAGCAGAAAUUCACAUAUGUGCACCAAAAGACAUGUAUAAAAAUGUGUUUGUGACACUUUUAUUCGUAAGAGCCCAAAA